AACGAACGCUGGCGGCAGGCCUAACACAUGCAAGUCGAGCGCCCUUUCGGGGGAGCGGCGGACGGGUGAGUAACGCGUGGGAAUAUGCCCUUCUCUACGGAAUAGCCUCGGGAAACUGAGAGUAAUACCGUAUACGCCCUGUGGGGGAAAGAUUUAUCGGGGAAGGAUUAGCCCGCGUUGGAUUAGGUAGUUGGUGGGGUAAUGGCCUACCAAGCCGACGAUCCAUAGCUGGGUUGAGAGGAUGAUCAGCCACACUGGGACUGAGACACGGCCCAGACUCCUACGGGAGGCAGCAGUGGGGAAUCUUAGACAAUGGGGGCAACCCUGAUCUAGCCAUGCCGGGUGAGUGAUGAAGGCCUUAGGGUUGUAAAGCCCUUUCAGCUGGGAAGAUAAUGACGGUACCAGCAGAAGAAGCCCCGGCUAACUCCGUG
rnacentral:rRNA from 1 species